rnacentral:rRNA from 1 species
GACGAACGCUGGCGGCGUGCUUAACACAUGCAAGUCGAACGAUGAAACCUAGCUUGCUAGGUCGAUUAGUGGCGAACGGGUGAGUAACACGUGACUAACCUGCCCCUUUCUCUGGGAUAACGCUCCGAAAGGAGUGCUAAUACCGGAUACUCACACCUAGGCACAUGACUUGGUGUGGAAAGUUUUUCGGAAAGGGAUGGAGUCGCGGCCUAUCAGCUUGUUGGUGAGGUAACGGCUGACCAAGGCGACGACGGGUAGCCGGCCUGAGAGGGCGACCGGCCACACUGGGACUGAGACACGGCCCAGACUCCUACGGGAGGCAGCAGUGGGGAAUAUUGCACAAUGGGCGCAAGCCUGAUGCAGCGACGCCGCGUGAGGGAUGAAGGUCUUCGGAUUGUAAACCUCUUUCAGUAGGGACGAAGCGAAAGUGACGGUACCUAAAGAAGAAGCACCGGCUAACUACGUGCCAGCCGCCGCAGUAA